GGAGAGGUGGCAGAGUGGUCGAAUGUACCUGACUCGAAAUCAGGCGUAUGUGUAAGCAUACCGUGGGUUCGAAUCCCACCCUCUCCGCCA
rnacentral:tRNA from 1 species